rnacentral:rRNA from 1 species
CUCAUGGUGAAAUGUUGAAAGGCGCUUUCGCGUCACUACAGGAUGGGCCCGCGGUGCAUUAGCUAGUUGGUGGGGUAACGGCCUACCAAGGCGACGAUGCAUAGCCGACCUGAGAGGGUGAUCGGCCACAUUGGGACUGGGACACGGCCCAAACUCCUACGGGAGGCAGCAGUAGGGAAUCUUCCACAAUGGACGAAAGUCUGAUGGAGCAACGCCGCGUGAGUGAUGAAGGUUUUCGGAUCGUAAAACUCUGUUGUAAGGGAAGAACAAGUACGUUAGGAAAUGAACGUACCUUGACGGUACCUUAUUAGAAAGCCACGGCUAACUACGUGCCAGCAGCCGCGGUAAUACGUAGGUGGCAAGCGUUGUCCGGAUUUAUUGGGCGUAAAGCGCGCGC